AAACGACUCUCGGCAACGGAUAUCUCGGCUCUCGCAUCGAUGAAGAACGUAGCAAAAUGCGAUACUUGGUGUGAAUUGCAGAAUCCCGUGAACCAUCGAGUUUUUGAACGCAAGUUGCGCCCGAAGCCUUUGGCCAGGGCACGUCUGCCUGGGCGUCACGC
rnacentral:rRNA from 2 species